rnacentral:rRNA from 1 species
UACAGAGGGGGCGAGCGUUGUUCGGAAUUACUGGGCGUAAAGGGCGUGUAGGCGGCCUUCUAAGUCGAACGUGAAAUCCCCGGGCUCAACCCGGGAACUGCGUCCGAUACUGGGAGGCUUGAAUCCGGGAGAGGGAUGUGGAAUUCCAGGUGUAGCGGUGAAAUGCGUAGAUAUCUGGAGGAACACCGGUGGCGAAGGCGGCAUCCUGGACCGGUAUUGACGCUGAGGCGCGAAAGCCAGGGGAGCAAACGGG